rnacentral:lncRNA from 10 species
CAGGCACUAAGAUGUCCAUCGCUGUGGGAAGAAGGGAGCUGGGGCGGGCCAAGAUGGCAGAUGGCUUGGAGUGGCAUGCUGUUUUCAGGCCCUCUACCUUUGUAGCCUGUGCCAUUUGAAGCUGCCGGUUACUGUUUUUAGCUUGGCUUGACAAGAGAGCUUUUGUUGUCACUCAGGAAUGCAGGGUAUUUUUAGCGAAGAGAUUCUGCUUCAGGCAUGGGCAUUGUGUUCUUCCAAUUACAGGCAUGGCCGAGGAGGGCUGGGCGCCGAAUCACUUGAAAGAUCAGCAGGCUCAGCUGAGAAAUUCAUAGAAAAAAGAGGUGGGCGGGGCUGCAUAACCAGAACCCUCGGGUCUUGUGCGAUUUAUUUUAUUUUAUUUUUAUUUUAAUCUUGUCUCCUUGUUCCUCCUCAGAACUGACUGCUCAGGUGACAUGGAGGUAGAUCCCAGGAAGGAAGGAAGGGAGAGCAGGAAAGAAAUUGCCUGGGGGUUGAAGAGCUACCGAAGAGAAACUACCCAGCCACGAAACCACAUUUAUUGAGCUCGACCAUAAGAGAACAGGCAAGACCCUGGAUACAAGAGAGUUCCUUCCCGACCCCCAGCUCUGAGAAACAGCUGAGGCCUCUAAGCAUCAUUACCAAGAAUGUCUUCCAUAAGUGGGGCCUCACGGAAGCUGUGAGGAGGAACAACUGGAUAUAUUCUGAGCAUUGAUUCUGGAAGCAUUUGUGCUGGCAAAGUGAGUGAUUGCGGGGCCGUUUUAUUGGACAUGUACUU